UACGUAGGGUGCAAGCGUUGUCCGGAAUUAUUGGGCGUAAAGAGCUCGUAGGCGGUUUGUUGCGUCGGCUGUGAAAACCCGAGGCUUAACCUCGGGCCUGCAGUCGAUACGGGCAGACUAGAGUUCGGUAGGGGAGACUGGAAUUCCUGGUGUAGCGGUGAAAUGCGCAGAUAUCAGGAGGAACACCGGUGGCGAAGGCGGGUCUCUGGGCCGAUACUGACGCUGGGGAGCGAAAGCGUGGGGAGCGAACAGG
rnacentral:rRNA from 1 species